CCAAUAGCGUAUAUUAAAGUUGUUGCAGUUAAAAAGCUCGUAGUUGAAUUUCGGGGUUCUACCGUUGGUCGGGCUAUUGUCUGUACUAGUGUGUAGAAUUUCUACCUUCUGGGGAACCAUCAUGUUAUUAAUUUAGCGUGGUGGGAAACCAGGACCUUUACCUGGAAAAAAUUAGAGUGUUCAAAGCAGGCUUACGUUUGAAUACAUUAGCAUGGAAUAGUAAAAUAGGACGGUGGUCCUGUUUUGUUGGUUUCUGAAUCACCGUAAUGAUUAAUAGGGAUAGUUGGGGGCAUUAGUAUUCAAUUGUCAGAGGUGAAAUUCUUGGAUUUAUUGAAGACUAACUUCUGCGAAAGCAUUUGCCAAGGAUGUUUUCAUUAAUCAAGAACGAAAGUUAGGGGAUCGAAGACGAUCAGAUACCGUCGUAGUCUUAACCAUAAACUAUGCCGACUAGGGAUCGGACGAUGUUAAUUUUUCUUGACUCGUUCGGCGCCUUACG
rnacentral:rRNA from 1 species